AGGAAUUUUUAUUUUCAUCUGCCUCAGUGGAGUGAUUAUAUAGUAUGCUAAGUAAUCUUUCAUUUCUUACAGAAGACGAUCACCUUCUCCUUAUUAUAGUCGAUAUAGAUCACGAUCAAGAUCUCGUUCCUACAGCCCAAGACGCUAUUGAUAACGGAAUGGUUGCAAUUAAGGACAUUUUUUUUCCUCUUUUUUUUUUUUUUUUUUUUAAUUCUGAGAUUUCCCCAAGCUGUGGAUUCUUCCUACUCCUUAAGAAAAAAACUUUGGUUUAUUUAGCAUCUACACUUUUGUCAGUUGUGUUGCUGUUUUCCACCCAUUUUAUUAUACUCUUAAAAGAUGUAAUUGUUGUCAUUUUGAACAGUUAAACAUCUUGAGUAUAAAAAGAACCCCAAUG
rnacentral:lncRNA from 10 species